rnacentral:lncRNA from 1 species
UCUUUCGAUUUAAAUUAUCGCAAGUGUACGGUUCGUUAACAAGUAAUAAAGUGGAUUAAAUGAGUCCGAAUAUCGUCCCACAGAGAUUGAUUAGUUCAAUUUUACCUAUCGUCGCCUUAACCGAAACAAUAGAAAUUCUUGAUAUUUUCGCUAACUAAAUUAUGAUUUAAUAACUUACUUAUAAAUAUAAAGCCUGAAUUAACUAAAUUAAAUGCGUGAUUAUAACUAAAUG